ensembl:lncRNA
UAAGGCUGCAUGUAGUCUAGGCAACAUUAGUCGAAUCUCACAGUGGUUUAUGGAUUUGUCUCGCUGUAGCCUGCUGUGAAUUAAGCACUAAGCAAACCACUGGCAGUUCAUGCCAUGGCCUACGACGGUGGCAUCAGGUGUAAAAGGUCAAUCUGUAGGCCCUCGGGUAAACUAAGACUUUAAAUAGCUUUUCAUAGUAUGUCAUUUCUCUCACACCUUAGAAUGAUUAAGUUAUUAUUUAGGGAUAACUAUAUUUAAAAGCUCACCAGAAAAACACACUUCUUUGCAUUGUCGCUACCUCCAAGAACUUUAACGUUACCAAUUUCUUAGAAGUUAAAUUAACGUCAUACUUCCAAGUAGGGUCCUUCAAACCCGUGAAUAAGGUUCUUGCGUAUGUCUGCUGUCUCGCAAGACCAAAUUCCUAGUUGGUUGUCUUGUACAUUUAUGGGAAUUAUACAUUCACUUUCCAAAUGAUUUUUCCUUUCCCAGAAAUCCACAUGGUUUCGUUUUGACUGAAGUAGACUAAAUACACUUAAUAGCUCCGGGAGAUUCCCGUCGGAGAGUCUAUUAAACCAAGCAACCAGAGACAGUCGCCGGUUCGUGCCUUUCCGAAGCUGCAAGUUGUUCUGGUGGCUGUGCCUAAAUCUAUACUUAUAGGGGACAAAGGCUGCCUCUGGAGAAGAUGAUGUCCUGAUAGGCUGACAAAGGCUCCCUCUGGAGAAGAUGAGGUCCUGAUCCAAAGCUGUCUGGACUAGACGUGGUCCAUGGUCAACAGACAUCAAACAUCAAACAUCAGAGAAUGUUCAAUAAUAAUAAAGCAACUAACUCAGGCUCUUGAGUUAGUUAGUUUUGUUAGUUAAUUAGUUUAUUCGUAAGUUACUUUAUUAGUCAAUGUGUUUGUUUGUUAGUUAGUUAGUCUAUUAGUUAGUUUAGUUUGUUAGUUACAUGUAAAAGUUCGUUUAUUCGUUUAUUAGGUUUGAUAUCGUUUUAGUUUUGUUAGUUAAUCUAGGGUUAGGGUUACUAACUCUUGGGUUGUAGAUUUGUCUGUUUAUCAGUAACCUUCAGGCAUCCUCAAACAUGAGCUUGUCUGUUUAUCAGUAAGCUUUAGGCAUCCUCAAACAUGAGCUUGCUUUGGGUGACUAGUAUGCAUGGUGACUUUUCAAGUUUGUGUCACCUGAUCUCUGUAAAAUGAUUAACAAUGAACAAUUAAAGUAAGCCAUGAAAAAGCCAUGUAAUUCUGCAGUGAUAUGUACUUCAUAAAGAUAGCCCCAACAGUAGUCUCCCAGGCAUACUGUACAUACUAAAAAACAAAGAAAACAGCUUUUAUUUUAUUGUAUUUGUUAUGUUUUGCUGUUUCUGGUAUGCACUGUAACAAGGGGCACCAGUUUAUUCAUAUUUAUUUCAAGUCUUGCUAGCAACCCUUACACGUCACUUAACACAAUCAGGUUAUGCAGACUGAAAAUAAUAAAAACGGGAAAGAGCAUCUUUUGUAAGUGUGUGAGAUUGCAUAAUUGUAUACAUUCUGGGAAGGUACAGUUAAGCAGUGGGUCAUUUAAUAGAGCAGAACGAUGGCGAUGGAAGGAAGCCAUUGAAGGCAGAGGAAAAGGGAGACUGACGGAGACUAGUUCAGUACAAUACUGAUGCGUGUGUGGUGCCUGCUAUCCGCAAACAACACUUUGUAGGACAUUUUGGUAAAAGGAAUGUAGGUCAUGCUUUGGGGCACUGACUGAUUCAUUUAGGCCUAUGCUUUCCUUCCAGCAGUGUCAUCAGAAAACCUGAGUCCUUUAAAAAUAAAUGUCUGAACACUGCAGAAUUAGUUUUAAAUGCUGUAUGGUUGAGUCGGGGCACGAUUCUCUAGACUCGUCGGCCCUUUUAUGAAAAGACUUGCAGUAGGCACCAGAUCUAGUGGUGUGAAAACUUUGACCCAAACCAAUUAGAAAGACGCCCCAACAAAAUAGAGGAGAUGAGGCCUUGCACUCUUAGACACACAUGGCUGAACACAGCUGUGAUAAUCAUUCCUUAUUGAGUAACUUUGUAUGUGUUUGGUAUAGGACAAGAGGCUUGGAAAUGGUGUGAAGGCCUAAGUGUGUUUUAUAUGACAUAGAUUGACACAGCGCUGAAGAACGCUGUGUUAAACAUUCUGUUACGGCCACAUGUGUGUUGUGUUCUUGUUUACCACUUCCUUCCCUUUCUGUAGCUCCGCCCAGGUUGUGGUACACCUGAUUGCCAGAUGAGAUGCACCUGGUCAGGUGAUUAAGCAGCAGUUAAAGACUCCAGUUUCCUGCUGCGGAAGAAGAGGCUUCUAGCGUGUGGACUGCUGCCUCUCAGCCUCUCAGCCUCUCAGCCUCUCAGCCUCUCAGCCUCUCAGCCUGUGAUUUUGUUGUGUAGUUAUGUUUUGAUAUGGUUUCUAGAGUUGUUGUGUAUUUGUUUAUAUUAAUAAAUCCUUUGGAUUUGGUGCUUUUAAAAAGGUGUUUCUAGUAGUUGAUUUGGGUCAGUGGUGGAGUGUUGUUCGCCCCAUAAAGCUACCAAAGGUU